ACACCAGCUCCAUCACAAACAAUGCCCAGACCAACAAGAUCAGCACCAAACGCAUAGGGCACAGAAAUCGGAAACGGAUCUUCCUAUAUCUAAAGGGGGCGGGGAACGCUCCCCACGAUCACCCCCUCCCCAUACUGAGGUAGCUUGGGACUGUGUCUCUACGUAAUUGGUGCUAGAUCACUUAAAUUACAACACUGGCUGAAAAUCCUUCCUACACUAAUGAAGAUUUGGACAAUCCCUAUGGUGUCUCCUUCAGGUUUGGCUGAGGGAAGACCAGAAGGGAGUAGGAAUUUAAAGUGCUCGUCUUUCAUAUUCAAGAAAGGAAAAUACUUUUUUAGCUCAAGUCCGGAGUCGUGAACAAAUAACCACCAUUAUUUAGAGAUAACUUCUCGUCGGUGCAGCAGCUCUGAAAAUCAGCCAAUCAGCGAUAGCCUCACUCCGGUAACUAUGCUUCUUAGUAAAUCAAUGACAACCCCACGCUUCUGAAAGUCAGCCAAUCAGUGACCGCUCUAAGCCUCCGACAAUAGCCAAUCAACAAGUGCCUGACACCAGCGACCAGGCUUCCGAAAGUCAGUGGGUACUCAGCUGCCGCACUCCACUUCUGAUUCGGAAAGACAGCCAAUCCCUGAAGGCGAAUAUUUCCAAAACCAUUUUUUUUUCUUUCCCAGACUGAGUCUCAUUCUGUCGCCCAGGCUGGAGUGCAGUGGCGCGAUCUCGGCUCACUGCAACCUCUGCCUCCCGGUUCAAGCGAUUCUCCUACCUCAGCCUACCGAGUAGCUGGGAUUACAGGCUCCCGCCACCACGCCUGGCUCAUUUUUGUAUUUUUAGUAGAGACGGGUUUUGCCAUGUUGGCCAGACUGGUCUCAAACUCCUGACCUCAGUUGAUCCGCCUGCCUUGGCCUCCCAAAGUGCUGGGAUUACAGGCCUGAGCCAUCGCGCCCGGCCUUUUUUUUCUUUUUCUCCUUUUUUUUUGGAGACAGAGUCGCACUCUGUUGCUCAGGCUGGAGUGCAGUGGCGUGAUCUCAGAUCACUGCAACCUCUGCCUCCUGGUUCAAGCGAUUCUUGUGCCUCAGCUUCCCAAGUAGCUGGGAUUACAGGCCUGUGCCACCAAGCCUGGCUAAUUUUUUGUAUUUUUAGUAGAGACAGAGUUUCGCCAUGUUGGCCAGGCUGGUCUUGAACUCCUGGCCUCAAGUGAAUCGCCAGCCUUGGCCUCCCAAAGUGCUGGUAUUACAGGCGUGAGCCGCGCCCGGCCUUCAAAACCUUUUAUAAGAUCAGCUCUGGCUUUGUUCAGAGAGGCUGUACCUUACAAGUACCGCUCUCCCUUGCAAGCAGAGAAGAAAUUCACUUUUUUUUUGCAUCAGAUAUUGAGUUCAAUUUAUUGUUUUGUCCGAGUUCAAAGUUCACAGCUCAAGAUUCAAUUCCCAGUUACUAUUUGGUAUGAGUUUGGACUUAUGACAGACGCUAUGACACCGUCAUGAGAUUUAUCAAAUACAACUCUUUCAAUUCUUUCUAUGCUUGCAGUGAUCAAUUUUUUAGCUCAAGUCCAGAGUCAUGAACAAGUAACCACCAUUAUUUAGAGAUAACUUCCCAUCGGUGCAAAAGCUCUGAAAAUCAGCUCUAAAAACAAUUCAACGGGGCUACACGUGGUGGUGCACGCCUGCAGUCCCAGCAAUUUGGGAGACUAAGACAAGUGGAUUUCUU
rnacentral:lncRNA from 1 species